GCAAUGUCCAGUUCCAGUUCAGCUUCAGCUAAGGCACAUUCAAAAAUGUGAUACCCACGUUCAACAACUUCUUCCUUAUUCACUUCUUUUGCUCAUAUAAUACCAAGAUUGCACUUCAAGAAUCCUCUACCCAAUAAACACUAUGCACUAGACUUUUGUGCUUUGAGUUUUGACCUUCAUCUUUCUUUCUCAAUGGCCUCAUCAAUUAAUCUUCUUGACUAUGCUCUGUUUCAGCUUACCCCUACUCGAACCAGGUACUCUUACUUCUCUCUAAUUUCUCGUUUUUUGAGCUUUUUCUUAAGUUUGUUAAGGCAAAUCUGUUGUGUUUUCAAUGUCAAGAUUUGAUCUUGUUCUAUUCUCUGGAGGCAAGACUGAGAAGUUGGCUUCUGGGUUAUUUGAACCUUUCAUUUCCCACCUCAAAUUUGCUAAAGAUCAGAUUUGCAGAGGUGGGUACUCCAUCAAACUCUGCCCACCCACCGGCAAUGCUACUUGGUUCACUAAAGCCACUUUUGAGAGAUUUGUGCGUUUUGUUAGCACACCAGCAGUGCUUGAAAGAUUUGUCAGCCUAGAAAAAGAAAUCUUGCAGAUUGAGAGAUCAGCUCAAGCCAAUGAAUUGUCAAACAUUGAUGUGACUGGACAAUUGGAGGAAGGAAGUGGGGUAGCUGCCAAAUCUAGCACAAGGAAGUCGAGUGACUCCUCUAAGGUAAAGGGGGAACUAGAGAGACACAAUGACAUUGGACCAGAAGAAAACUCCAAGAUUCAACUCCAACGGCUUCUUGAAACUCGGAAAACUUUGCUUCGCAAAGAGCAAGCUAUGGCUUAUGCCCGCGGUCUUGUUGCUGGAUUUGAAGUGCAUAAUAUAGAUGAUCUCAUUUCCUUUGCAGAUGCGUUUGGAGCCUCUCGGUUAAGGGAAGCAUGUAUUAAUUUCAAGGAAUUAUGUAAAAAAAAGCACGGAGAUGGUCUUUGGAUGGAGGAAUUAGCAGCAAUGGAAGCAUGUCCACCAUCGGAAUUGUCAUUAUUGGGAACUUCAGGAAUAAUACUUAAUAAUGAUGCUAGCGGCCUUAAUCCACAUAUCAUACUAACUUUGCCCAAAGGUGAUGUGCCAAAUGGAUCCACAGAUGCAUCAAGGUCUGAUUCAACUGCCAGUCAUGCAAGUUUUGACAGCAAAAAGGAUGAUAACUCAGCAACAUCAGAUCAGAUGCCAUCAACUACCACCAAAGUUCAAGUGCCAAUGCCUUGGUCAAAUCAGAUACCUCAAUAUAUGUAUAAUUUCCAGAACCCUCAACAACUUCCUCCAUACCAAGGAUAUCCAUUCCCAAUGCAGGCUAUCCCUCCUCAUUAUGCAAUGGCCAUGCAGUGGCCUCCCAAUCUGAAAGAAUCUGCUCCAGUGAAAAAAGAGAAAUUUCUGAACAAAAAAGGGCUUGAACAUUCAGGAGAAGAUGGAGAACCUGAGUCCAGCAACUCUGAGGUAGGGAGUGAUUCAGAUUCAUAUAUGCAGCGAGACAAAAGGGACUCUUCUACGGAUGCUUCUCGCAGGAAAAAGCAUAGGAAGAAGUCCUCUAAGACAGUUGUUAUCCGUAAUAUUAACUACAUUACUCCAAAGAGAAGAAAUGGGGAAAAAACCAGUGUCUCUGAUGAAUCUUCUUCUUCUGAGGAUUUCAUUGAUGAAGAUUCCCUCCAGCAAAAGGUAGAUGAUGCAAUCGGAUCAUUGAAGAAAUUGCACAAGUCAAAGUCAAGUAAUCAUGGGAAAAAAGGUUCACACAAGAGCAACCACAUUUCCAAUGGGUCAAGUGACUCUGGUCUCGAGGAUUUAGGUGAUGGCGUUGUUUCAAAUUCUUCAGAGGCAGGACAGACAAAUGAGAACUGGGAUGCUUUCCAGAACCUCCUGAUGAAAGAUGAGGAGGCAAAUGUUAAUGGAGUAGCAAGGUUGCAUCCAAUGGAUGUUCCGGAUGAGCAUUUUACAGUCAAAAGCUUAGGCGAUGGAACUGCAUUGGCAAACAACAGUGCUAUGGACUUGGAAUUGGAGAAAGUAUCAAAGCAGCGAAUGGCUGCAGGUGAUUCCUUUGUUGUGACUCAGAGGGAUGGGGGAUCUGAAGAUCAAGAUGGGAUGAAAGAUAUUGAAAGGGUGGAGAAUCUUAGACCAGUCAUGAAGAGAAGGGAUUCCAUAGAUGAAGAUCUGCUAAUUCCACAGCGAACGGAUGAAUUGAGAACUGGGCUCAGGGUUAUCCUGUCUGCAACUGAGUCAUCCAUUAUUAAGCCUGGAAACAGAGAAGAUUGGCUUGUUAUCAGCCACUCAGGGAAACCAGAAAACCAGACUUCAAUCAAUGAGGAUAUAAUCUUUAACGGUGAUUGCAUGUCUACAUCAGAGCGUGAUUAUUUGAAUGUCGAAAAGGGUAGAAAAAAUGUAGCUAUUGAUGAUUCUUUCAUGAUACAUGAUCGACCAGCAGUUGAUGAUCUGUGUGAUUCUCAGUGGAAAACUGACAUCAGCAUGGCUGCAGAUCUUAAUUUAUCGUCGCAGCCAGAAAAUGGCAUUGUAAAAGAAAACCACGAAGUAUUGGGUGGUUAUGAACCAAAUGAUAUGUGUGUGGUACUUGAACGGGAUUCCGGAUUAGAAUCAGCAAGGGAAUCCUGGACUUCAGACCAUGGAAUUGACAUAUCCUUCAUGGAAACUGAAAUAAGGAGCUCUAGUGUUGAAACUAAUAAUGAUGCUGCAAAGAAGCUUCCUUCAAAUUGUGACAGCACUAUUGUGAAGAAAAAGGAAAGUAGUGGAAGAAAAGUUCCAGGAAAAGAAGUUAGGCCUAGGGUUUUAUCUGGAUCCCCUGGAAACAACAAAACUAGCAUGUUAUCUAAGAGCAAGAAACCGUCACUUCCAAGUAGGCCUAUAGUUCAGAAGAGCAAGCUGGAGAAGGAAGAAGAGAUUCGGAAGAAGAUGGAAGAAUUAUUGAUUCAACGCCAGAAAAGAAUUGCAGAAAGAAGUGCAGCUAGUGGCUUUACUCCAGCAACAACCAAGAAAAUCCCAUCAGGAAGUAAACAAGUGAAAGGCUCCAUUAAGUAUAACCAGAAUAAAACUCAUUCAUGACUCGAGACAAAUAAGGAAAGUUCCGUCAAAAUCAAGGCAGCUUAAGAAAUAUCAGGGGGUAAGUGGAGUUGUGAAUGUGUAGAUCUUCAGUUCGUAAUGUCUUACUGGUUACUUCGGCAACUUGAGGUGGAUGGGAAAUACUAUGCAUUGUCUAUCCUAGAGACCAAAUUCUCAAUAUUUUCAAUAGCAUGUUCGACAUUUCCACAGAAUGCUGAUAUAGUGUUAUAAACCUAUUAGCUCAUAGUGUAUAGUUUUCACCUCCUUCCAUUCUUUUAUACUUUGGUAGCAAGUAGAGUGAAUUUUGAAGGCAUCUGGAAAAUAAUAACCCGUCAGUUUAGUCCCUUGUUUCCUGGAUAUGUACUUUAAACCCUGUAGUAAAAGCAUCCUUAUUGCUGUAUACAUUUCAUGGUUGUUUGUAAUAAGUUCUACUUCCAUGUAAUUAAUGCGAAAUUGGUAUUGAGUUUCAUUUUAUCCAAGUUGCAGUGGUUGGUAAGGAAAGAAA
rnacentral:misc_RNA from 1 species